rnacentral:rRNA from 1 species
GACGUAGGUGGCGAACGUUAUCCGGAAUUAUUGGGCGUAAAGGGUGCGUAGGUGGCCUGACAAGUUAUCAGUGGCAAAUCGAGGCUCAACCUCGUGGAAACUGGUAAUACUGUUCGGCUUGAGUACAGGAAAGGUUAACGGAACUCUAUGUGGAGCGGUAAAAUGCACAGAUAUAUAGAAGAACAUCAAUAAAGGCGAAGGCAGUUAACUAUUCUGUUACUGACGCUGAGGCACGAAAGCGUGGGGAGCAAACAGG